ACAAGCAUGACCAGUUAGUCAUCACGUAAAAGAAAAAACUAAGGAUACAUGUUAUAUAUCACUAUAUCACAUAUGCCCAAAUGUUAGUUUUAAUUAUUAGAACACUUUCUACUUCAUUUAGAUACCUAUUUAAUUCUACAACAUGCUGCAUAGAUGUCUCUGAUGUAAAUCUAGCCCUCACUGCAGAAGUCCCCACACCAGUAAAAAAGAACAAAACCGCAUAUAUAAAUACUUGCUUAAAAUUGGAAAACAAUUCAUUAAGAAACGAAAUUAUUUCGCAAAAUUUAAAUCACUUAGUAAUACUACAGCGAAUGAAGUUACUCUUGCCAAAUUCCGCAGUUUGGCCUAGCCGUUUAUUUUCCUCUCUCUAAAUCCCAGGGCUACUUUCUUCCAAUCUCCCUGAUUAGUCUGCCAUUUUAAUGCAAACAACGUGCACAGCACAUUAGUAAAUAUACAGAAUUCCUGUCUUUUGACAUAAAGCUUGUCGUUACAACUCUUUCCGGCAGCUUGGUAAGUAAAACACUAUAUAAAAGCGCUGACAGUCACGUGAUGAUACCGGCGGGUCUUCCUCUCUUACUAGUCAGAGGAUAAGCUACUCCAGCCCAGUGGUUUCAAGUCAUCUUCACUUAUUAAGCCGCACCCCCUUUAGGGCAGCAGCCGCCGCACCAACCAGGCUAAACCACAGCUCCCGCCGGCGGAAGCAUCCCUUCCACACCCGCUGACGGGCAGGGCCGAUGGAUAGGUGUGGACGCUGCACGCUCUUUACUCCCGGCGCGCACUCGCGUCACUGCAGCCCCUGCGACUGUCACGGUCCCCAGGAACGAACGAGGGAACUUUACGGCAUCUGGGGGGCCCCGGGUCCCAUCCCGCCCCGCCGCGCGCGGCUUCUUACCACGCAGGAAUCCUCCAGAGCAGCGGAGUUAGCAUACCAGAGAAGCCCGCCCCCUCGGGGGCGGGGGCGGGGGCGGGGGCGGCACUUAGGACCGGAAGCAUGUCGCCCCUGAGAGCGCGUCACUUCCGGCGGGCCCAGCCGGGUCUGGCGGGAGCUCCCGUAGAGGCGUUGGGUGUCGGAUGACGGGUAACUGCGGCUAAGGGAAUGUGGAGCCCCUGGUGUUUAAAGGGCGCUGCGCUGGACGGCGGGGCCUCAAAGAUGGGGAGCGUUCAUCCAUGCUGUCUGGAACUCCAGCUCGGUGGGCGAGAUGAACUCGAGCGUCAGUGGGGUGGGAGACCCCGGAAAGUCCUCCUUGAGAAAGUGACCUUUGAUCUGGACUUGGAAGAACGAAAAUGUGAUGACAUUGGCAGCGAGAGGAGUUAAGCGUUUACAGGCAGGUGUAAGUUAAAAUUACUAGCGCAGUGGGAGUGGAUCGCUGUGAUAGAAAUCUAAAAAAGACGUCUGGGGCGUUAUUGGGUGCAGGGCGGUGCCUCAAGGGCCUCCUGCCUAGUGCUGUUAAGCAUUCAAUUGAAGUAUCACACCUGGUGACUAAAGUUCUCUUGUUAACAGAAAAACCCUAGUCUCCUAGACAUCUCAUUAUCUCAACAACCCCUCCUAAACGCCUACCAUCACCAGUUACACGUAGUGGAAAAAAUGGCAUCACAUUCGCUCAGUUCACCAGGACCGCUACUUCCGUCCGUAUCAUCCUGCGCCAUCCAUUUUACCACUUAAAUAUCUAUUUGUUUACUGCUACCUCCCUUGUCCCAGGUUUCAUCCUGUCUCACUUGGAUUACUGGCAGCUGUUCUGGGCAUCAAUUCUUGCUCCGCUCCCUCUAACCCAUUUUCCAUUCCUUAGCCAAGUGAACUUUUGAAAAUGUAAGUUAGAUUGUUGCUCUCCAGCUUGAAUCUUUCCAAAGUUUGCCAUUGUUCUUAGAAUGAAGUUCAAACUGCUUAACGUGGUGUUAAGUCCCUGCUUACUUCACUAGUCCCACCUUGCCCAGUCUGCCCCUCUUUGAGCUCCAUGCAUAGGAAGCUUCUCUCAGUUUCUCCAAUGCCACAUGUACCUUGCUAUCUCCAGCCCUUUACUUAUGCUCUUCUCUUUGUAUGGUGGUACUCCUUUUUUUCUAAUUAAUUUCUACUCACUCUUAAGGCUUCUGACAUUUUAUUCUCAAGUCAGCCUUCCAAUGUUCCUCCCCGCCAAACUGGAUCAAUACCCUACUGUACGCUCAUGGCAGUCUGUGCUUCCUUAUAGCACUUUUCAAAUUUGUAAUUACAUAAGGAAUUGUGUAAUAAGUUGUUUACUGUAUCCCCAUUGCCUGGUAUAUUUAUAUUGUAUAUGGUAUAUUUAUAUUGUAUGUGGUAUUGUAUGUGUAUAUUGUAAAUGGUAUAUCGUAUCCCCAUUGCCUGGUAUUGACUUGGUGAUCAGUACGUUUUGUGUUAACUAAAUGAAGAAUAAAUACUGUGCAAUGUUUGUUAAACAAGAAAGUGAUUUUCUUUAAGAGGAAAGAUUAAAGUCAAUUCUGUAGGAAUAUUGA